AUGAUUUGUAGUGCCCUGAGUUCGAGAGAGGCCCUUAGUACUAUAAAUAUUUGCCCUUUAUGGGCUCUAAAUGAGCUCAUGUCAAGAGGCUUUCAAGUAAUGCAUAGAGUUUUAAGCUGGGGUGAUGAAUCCCAGAUUGAUUAGCAGCACCAAAUAAGCAAAUAUUUGACAUUAAAUUCCACAUUUACCAUUUGUAUGGUCUUUUGCAAACUGAAGUGAUAAGAACAGCAAAAACACAAGAAAGCCUUUUACUCUGCUGUGUUGACUUGAUCAAGACCACAGUCCACAGAUGGGUUAUUCGUGGUACAAAUUGUAGUAAUGGACAGAGUAAUUACAGUGUGCCAUAGUACAUACAGUCUCUACUGUAGCUUUUCUGUCUUUAGAGAAUGAGGGUUCACUAAAAACACCAAAAUGCAGCCUAAUUGACAGACAUCACUGUGCCUCAACAAAUUGUCACUUCUUAAAGUCAUGCAUUGCAACAGGGUGCACACUGUAAAACCUUCGUUACAGCUCCUAGAGUCUGUGCACAUAUACAGGGUGUCCAUAAAGUCUCUUUACAAUUUUAAGAAUUUAUUACAAAGGCAUUUGAUAAGAUAUCUUAACCAGAUUUGUUUUAUUGUAAUCAGCAGUUGUCAAAGUUUUUUCUACCUCAUUUAAUAUACCUCUAUAUGGGCACCAUUAGUUACACGAAGCACAUCAAGACGGUACUCGAUUUCUUGCCAUGUUCGCUGUAGCAUAGCCUCAUCAAUGGUGGCAGUGGCAUCAGAAAUCUUUUGCUUCAAGUCAGUAAUGUCCCAUAUCUUUGUUCAAUACACGAUGUCUUUAACAUAACUCCAUAGAAGAAGUCCAAGGGAGUGAUAUCUGGUGAAUGUGGUGGCCAAGGAAUUGGCCCAUCCCUUCCAAUCCACCGGUCUGAGGAGUAGCCAUUUUUUAGGGCUUUAUUUAACAGUGCCUCUUUCACCAACAGGAUACCUGAAACCACUGUUCCCUCUAAGCUGCGCGCGUGCGCAAUUGCGCACUGCUGACACUUUCUCCGCGCACAGAAAAUCUGCGCUUCGCACAAAACAAAAAAAAAAAAAUCCAACCUAAGUUGUAAAUAAAAUAAACACAUAACAAUUCAUUCUGUGCUAUUUUUCAGUGAGUCAGUGAGUGACCGGUGACUGGCUGCUGCAGCCAAUGAUGCGAUUCACAUAAGUAUUUACCAUAGACUGUAUAUAAUGGUAUUUACACAGCUAAUCAACGUCAGGCGUCCUUAUGUGCAGCCACCGUUGUUCUCAUAGAUAUGAAUCAGUAGAUAGGACACGCCCCUUUGCUACAGCGAGGCUAAGCUAGCGGGGGCAAAGUUUCAGUGCAUUCCGUUGAUGUAGACGGCGUGAAAACGGAAACAAGAAGUAUGCCGGCUCACUGUGCUGCAUACAAUUACACAUUACGUCGUAAGAUUGAGACAAGGAAACUUGGAAUGACUUUUCAUUGGUUUCCCAGAGACUAUGAGUUGAGGAGGAAGUGGAAGUUUGUCGGCUUAGACCUGGUGUCAUUUCAUCAGUGUUAAACUUCCUGGCUCAUCUUUGAAGAGUAUGUGCCAGAAAGACCACAACCAAGCAGCCUUGAGAUCUUAGACAGCAUCUCCCUCAGGUGGGUGUCAACGGUGUUCACGGUCAGGUCUGUGGUAAUCCUGUCAAAAAACAAAACAGAAAAAAAUCUAGAUUAUAAAUCAACAUGUAACCAAAGCACUCUGUGUAUAACGCCAUAGUAUAGGAUGUAGUUCAGAAAAUGUCAAAGUAUAGUAUGCUUUACUCAAGAAUGACAUAGUAUGGCCUGUAGUUCAUAGUACAGCAUGUUGGCAAGAAAAAACUAAACAGAUUAUUAUGUGGUUCGAAAAGCACAAAAUGAUAGGAUGUUGCCUAAACUUGUAAAAAUGUAUGAUAUGUAGUUCAAAAAAUGUCAUAGUGCAAUAUAUUGUCAAAAUAGUAUGUAAUUCAAGAAAACAUCAGAGUAUAAUAUGUCAUCUAAAAAAUGCCAUAGAAUAAUAAUUUCAUUGCACAAGUAAAAGUAUAGUAACUUUUAAAACUGUUCGAAUUCUUAUAUGUUGCUAAAAAAACAAAAAAAAGUCACAGUAAUAUGUCAAUUAAAAAAGCCUAUAGUAUAGUGUGUCGCCCAGCAAACAUCAUAGUAUAGCAUGUCGCUCUAAAAACGUCAUAGUAUGGCCUUUAGUCCACAGCUGUCAGUAGGUGAGGAGCAAAACAAAAACAGUCCAAACGCUGGUUUCCAGAGGGUUAGACGAUAAUUUAUUUGAAAGAGUAAGUUUACAACAACACAACAUGUGAGGGGGUUAAAAGCAAAUGGGUGUUAGUAAAAUAAAAAUAAAUCAACAGAACUAAAAGUGAACUUCACAUUGACAUUGAUGGGCAUUCCAACCAGGAACAAAGUAAAAGAUAAUCAAUACAAAAAAACUCUUCCUGUUCACCUCUUAAAACCCAAAAACACACCACAGUAGCACCCUAAACUAAAACUACCAAUGGGUUCCCUGUUUUCCUUUCUGAACAAGUCAAAGGUCUCUCUCUAUCUCCCCAUAUAUCCACCAACCACUGGAACACAUCUCCAAAGUUCUGCCGGGCCAGCUCAGCUUCCCUUCAGAAGAAGUUCCACCAGAUGAAGGAGCCUUUUGAGAGGCAGCUGGCAUCGUGAUUGGACUGUACUUUAGUCUGUUCCAAUCCAGCUUCAGCUCCAGAGACGGCAGGCGGGACGAGUCAACGGAGGCCGGGUCCACGAAGGCAUGCAGCUGAGUACAAUCCAGAAAACAACAGAGGAGGAGUGCAGUGGCCCAGGGCCAGAACAACCAGAGUAGCAUCGUAUGUCUCUUAGAAAACAUCAUAGUAUAGCCUUUGGUAUGAAAAAACACCAUCAUAUACAUUGUAUAUUGUACAAAUAACAAGUCAAAGGAAAGAGACAUACAUUGUAGAAUUGUAGUAAUUGUGGGCUGACUGAUUUACUGAUUAUCAGUAUUUUAUUUUUUACUAAUUUAUGGUAAUAAAUACAUUUAAAAAUGGU